rnacentral:rRNA from 1 species
CCUAUACAUGCAAGUCGAACGAACGGAGGAAGAGCUUGCUCUUCCAAWGUUAGUGGCGGACGGGUGAGUAACACGUGGGCAACCUGCCUGUAAGUUGGGGAUAACUCCGGGAAACCGGGGCUAAUACCGAAUGAUAAAGUGUGGCGCAUGCCACGCUUUUGAAAGAUGGUUUCGGCUAUCGCUUACAGAUGGGCCCGCGGUGCAUUAGCUAGUUGGUAGGGUAAUGGCCUACCAAGGCAACGAUGCAUAGCCGACCUGAGAGGGUGAUCGGCCACACUGGGACUGAGACACGGCCCAGACUCCUACGGGAGGCAGCAGUAGGGAAUCUUCCGCAAUGGACGAAAGUCUGACGGAGCAACGCCGCGUGUAUGAAGAAGGUUUUCGGAUCGUAAAGUACUGUUGUUAGAGAAGAACAAGGAUAAGAGUAACUGCUUGUCCCUUGACGGUAUCUAACCAGAAAGCCACGGCUAACUACGUGCCAGCAGCCGCGGUAAUACGUAGGUGGCAAGCGUUGUCCGGAUUUAUUGGGCGUAAAGCGCGCGCAGGCGGUCUUUUAAGUCUGAUGUGAAAGCCCCCGGCUUAACCGGGGAGGGUCAUUGGAACUGGAGACUGGAGUGCAGAGAGGAGAGUGGAUCCACG